UAGAAAAAAGCGUCCGGCGACUGCGAGAGAAGUUCUACGGGAAGGUGACCAUCAGAGAUGCCGUCAUUCUGAUGCGGAUGUUCAAUAAUGAUCACGAUCUCGCCUGCCAGCGUAUUAUUGAACGCAAAAAUGAGAUGGGUGAUAUAGAUCUGGAAGAUGACCCGGACCUGGCUAGCGAUCUGGUGGCUUUGGAAUUGAUAGAGAGGCUGCAGGAAGAAGAGGAACAGAGGCAGCAGG